CCAAGAAGGUGCUCAUCACUGCCCCAGGAAAGGGUGACAUCCCAACCUAUGUCGUCGGCGUCAAUGCAGACGAAUACAAUCAUGAUGAGUCCAUCAUCAGCAAUGCUUCCUGCACAACCAACUGCCUUGCCCCCUUCGUCAAGGUCCUCGACCAGAAGUUCGGUAAUUUUACAUACCCCUUUCGUCUGUUUGUCACCAUGGUCUUCCCUCCAUCGCUUUGAAUGAUGGGAGCUUAAAAAUUCAUGGCAGGAAUCAUCAAGGGCACCAUGACAACAACUCAUUCCUACACUGGGGACCAGAGGCUCCUUGACGCCAGCCACCGUGACCUUAGACGUGCGAGAGCUGCAGCUCUCAACAUUGUGCCAACAUCCACGGGAGCAGCAAAGGCAGUGGCCCUUGUCCUCCCAACUCUCAAAGGCAAGCUCAAUGGCAUUGCCCUGCGUGUGCCCACCCCAAAUGUGUCGGUUGUGGACCUUGUUGUUCAGGUGUCCAAGAAGACCUUUGCAGAGGAGGUGAAUGCUGGUUUCAGGGACAGUGCUGAGAAGGAGCUCCAAGGGAUUCUCUCUGUGUGUGAUGAGCCCCUGGUUUCAGUUGACUUCAGGUGCUCUGAUGUGUC
rnacentral:lncRNA from 1 species